rnacentral:rRNA from 1 species
CUUUACUGAGUGUCGUGGCGGGCCGGCACGUUUACUUUGAACAAAUUAGAGUGCUAAAAGCAGGCGCAAUGCCUGAAUAUUAUGUGCAUGGAAUAAUAGAAUAAGACCUCGGUUCUAUUUUGUUGGCUUUCUGAACCAGAGGUAAUGAUUAAGAGAAACGGACGGGGGCAUUCGUAUUGAGACGUUAGAGGUGAAAUUCUUGGAUCGUCUCAAGACGGACAGAAGCGAAAGCAUUUGCCAAGAACGUUUUCAUUAAUCAAGAACGAAAGUUAGAGGUUCGAAGGCGAUCAGAUACCGCCCUAGUUCUAACCAUAAACGAUGCCAGCCAGCGAUCCGCCAAAGUUCCUCCGAUGACUUGGCGGGCAGCUUCCGGGAAACCAAAGCUUUUGGGUUCCGGGGGAAGUAUGGUUGCAAAGCUGAAACUUAAAGGAAUUGACGGAAGGGCACCACCAGGAGUGGAGCCUGCGGCUUAAUUUGACUCAACACUGGAAACCUCACCAGGUCCGGACACCGGAAGGAUUGACAGAUUGAGAGCUCUUUCUUGAUUCGGUGGGUGGUGGUGCAUGGCCGUUCUUAGUUGGUGGAACGAUUUGUCUGGUUAAUUCCGGUAACGAGCGAGACUCUAGCCUGCUAACUAGCCGUUUCCGGCAUCAUAUGCUGCCGGCGGCUUUAAACUCUUCUUAGAGGGACAGGCGGCUUCUAGCCGCACGAGAUUGAGCAAUAACAGGUCUGUGAUGCCCUUAGAUGUCCUGGGCCGCACGCGCGCUACAAUGAAGGUAUCAACGUGUCUUCCCAGGCCGAACGGUCCGGGUAACCCGCUGAACCACCUUCGUGCUAGGGAUUGGGGCUUGCAAUUGCUCCCCAUGAACGAGGAAUUCCUAGUAAGCGUGAGUCAUAAGCUCUCGUUGAUUAAGUCCCUGCCCUUUGUGCACACCGCCCGUCGCUACUACCGAUUGAAUGAUUUAGUGAGGUCUUCGGACUGGUACGCGAAAGCAUUAUUUAUUAAUGCUCCCGAUGUUACUGGAAAGAUGACCAAACUUGAUCAUUUAGAGGAAGUAAA